AGUGAACGCUGGCGGUAGGCCUAACACAUGCAAGUCGAACGGCAGCACAGUAAGAGCUUGCUCUUACGGGUGGCGAGUGGCGGACGGGUGAGGUAUACAUCGGAAUCUACUUUUUCGUGGGGGAUAACGUAGGGAAACUUACGCUAAUACCGCAUACGACCUACGGGUGAAAGCAGGGGAUCUUCGGACCUUGCGCGAUUGAAUGAGCCGAUGUCGGAUUAGCUAGUUGGCGGGGUAAAGGCCCACCAAGGCGGGGAUCCGUAGCUGGUGUGAGAGACUGGUAAGCCACACUGGAGCUGAGACACGGACCAGACUACUACGGGAGGCAGCAGUGGGGAAUAUUGGACAAAGGGCGCAAGCCUGAUCCAGCCAGACCGCGUGGGUGAAGAAGGCGUUCGGGUUGUGAAGCCCUUUUGUUGGGAAAGAACAGCAGCAGGUUAAGACCCAGCGGUUCUGACGGUACCCAAAGAAUAAGCACCGGCUAACUUCGUG
rnacentral:rRNA from 1 species